rnacentral:rRNA from 1 species
UACGUAGGGGGCAAGCGUUGUUCGGAAUUACUGGGCGUAAAGGGCGCGUAGGCGGCAUGGCAAGUCAGGAGUGAAAGGCCUGGGCUCAACCGAGGAACUGCUUUUGAUACUGCCAAGCUAGAGUGCGGAAGGGGCAACUGGAAUUCCCAGUGUAGCGGUAAAAUGCGUAGAUAUUGGGAAGAACACCUGAGGCGAAGGCGGGUUGCUGGGCCGACACUGACGCUGAGGCGCGAAAGCCAGGGGAGCAAACGGG